GGACAAUGACAAUUUUCUGAAGGGUAUGACCACUAAUUUUAAUUUAAAAUUUGUAAAUUAUUGCAUAUGAAUUAUGAAAGUACAUGUACAUCAAAUAAAAGAAAUAAGAAACCUGACAAAGAGCACAUGCAAUGGAAUGAAUUUUUCAAAGGAAGCAGUGAAGGUUUCUUCAAAAAUUCCUCAGCCCCCUCUGCUGGCCAUACUGGAGAAUAACAGGAUGUUAUGGACACCAAGAUCUUAUUUCUGCUAUGUGCAAGACUGUGUGAAGACAGUGUCCUGAUAGUACCACAGAGUAAGGAGACCGAUGUGGACUGGGCUUCUACCUUCAUCACUUCCCACCUGUGAAACCUUGGAUCUCUGUGAACCUCAUUUAUC